AACGAACGCUGGCGGCAGGCUUAACACAUGCAAGUCGAACGAAGCCUUCGGGCUUAGUGGCGGACGGGUGAGUAACGCGUGGGAACGUGCCCUUCUCUACGGAAUAGUCUCGGGAAACUGGGGGUAAUACUGUAUACGCCCUUCGGGGAAGGAAUUCGGAGAGGAUCGGCCCGCGUUGGAUUAGGUAGUUGGUGGGGUAAGUGGCCUACCAAGCCGACGAUCCAUAGCUGGUUUGAGAGGAUGACCAGCCACACUGGGACGUGAGACACGGCCCAGACUCCUACGGGAGGCAGCAGUGGGGAAUCUUAGACAAUGGGCGCAAGCCUGAUCUAGCCAUGCCGCGUGGACGAUGAAGGCCUUAGGGUUGUAAAGUCCUUUCGCUGGGGAAGGAUAAUGACUGUACCCAGUAAAGAAGCCCGGCUAACUCCGUG
rnacentral:rRNA from 1 species